rnacentral:ncRNA from 2 species
UAACUUUGCGACCAAUAAGGUUCGAUUUGCUCGAUCAAAAAGGGAACGGAGUGCAAGUCUCCGACUGUCUCGCAGCUGUUAGUUCCUUUAUGUCCAUCAAGCAAUGACACCACUGCCCCACUCCAACGGGGCGGGAAGGUGCUUGACGGCGGAACAUAGUCAGAAGACCUGCCUUAUUAUAAUGCCCACU